rnacentral:rRNA from 1 species
AGAGUUUGAUCCUGGCUCAGAGCGAACGCUGGCGGCAGGCCUAACACAUGCAAGUCGAACGGACCCUUCGGGGUUAGUGGCGGACGGGUGAGUAACACGUGGGAACGUGCCCUUUGGUUCGGAACAACACAGGGAAACUUGUGCUAAUACCGGAUAAGCCCUUCGGGGGAAAGAUUUAUUGCCAUUGGAGCGGCCCGCGUUGGAUUAGGUAGUUGGUGAGGUAAAGGCUCACCAAGCCUGCGAUCCAUAGCUGGUCUGAGAGGAUGAUCAGCCACAUUGGGACUGAGACACGGCCCAAACUCCUACGGGAGGCAGCAGUGGGGAAUCUUGCGCAAUGGGCGAAAGCCUGACGCAGCCAUGCCGCGUGAAUGAUGAAGGUCUUAGGAUUGUAAAAUUCUUUCAGCGGGGACGAUAAUGACGGUACCCGCAGAAGAAGCCCCGGCUAACUUCGUGCCAGCAGCCGCGGUAAUACGAAGGGGGCUAGCGUUGCUCGGAAUUACUGGGCGUAAAGGGAGCGUAGGCGGAUAGUUUAGUCAGAGGUGAAAGCCCAGGG